CGAAAGCCUGACGGAGCAAGACCGCGUGAGGGAUGACGGCCUAAUGGUUGUAAACCUCUUUUCUCUGGGAAGAUAAUGACGGUACCAGAGGAAUAAGCCUCGGCUAACUCCGUGCCAGCAGCCGCGGUAAUACGGAGGAGGCAAGCGUUAUCCGGAAUUAUUGGGCGUAAAGCGUCCGUAGGUGGUUAAUCAAGUCAGCUGUUAAAGAGCGGAGCUUAACUCCGUUAGAGCGGUUGAAACUGAUUGACUAGAGUUUGGUAGGGGUCGAGGGAAUUCCCAGUGUAGCGGUGAAAUGCGUAGAUAUUGGGAAGAACACCGGUGGCGAAAGCGCUCGACUGGGCCUGAACUGACACUGAGGGACGAAAGCUAGGGGAGCG
rnacentral:rRNA from 1 species